CCUACGGGAGGCAGCAGUGAGGAAUAUUGGUCAAUGGGCGCGAGCCUGAACCAGCCAAGUAGCGUGAAGGAUGACGGCCCUACGGGUUGUAAACUUCUUUUAUAAAGGGAUAAAGUGAGGCACGUGUGCCUUUUUGUGUGUACUUUAUGAAUAAGGAUCGGCUAACUCCGUGCCAGCAGCCGCGGUAAUACGGAGGAUCCGAGCGUUAUCCGGAUUUAUUGGGUUUAAAGGGAGCGUAGAUGGGUUGUUAAGUCAGUUGUGAAAGGUUGCGGCUCAACCGUAAAAUGGCAAUUGAUACUGGCAGCCGUGAGUACAGGUGAGGUAGGCGGAAUGCGUGGGGUAGCGGUGAAAUGCUUAGAUAUCACGCAGAACUCCGAUUGCGAAGGCAGCCUACGAAACGGCCACUGACAUUGAUGCUCGAAAGUGUGGGUAUCAAACAGGAUUAGAUACCCUAGUAGUC
rnacentral:rRNA from 1 species